GAUGAAGAACGUAGCGAAAUGCGAUAAGUAGUGUGAAUUGCAGAAUUCAGUGAAUCAUCGAAUCUUUGAACGCACAUUGCGCCCCUUGGUAUCCCGAGGGGCAUGCCUGUUCGAGCGUCAUUUCACCACUCAAGCCUGGCUUGGUGUUGGGCGACGUCCCCUUUGGGACGCGCCUCGAAACGCUCGGCGGCGUGGCACCGGCUUUAAGCGUAGCAGAAUCUUUCGCUUUGGAAGUCGGGGCCCCGUCUGCCGGAAGACCUACUCGCAAGGUUGACCUCGGAUCAGGCAGGGAUACCCGCUGAACUUAAGCAUAUCAAUAAGCGGAGGA
rnacentral:misc_RNA from 1 species